GUCUCAGUAGCUCAGCUGGAUAGAGCAACGGCCUUCUAAGCCGUCGGUCGGGGGUUCGAAUCCCUUCUGGGACG
rnacentral:tRNA from 7 species